UAGGGAAUCUUCCGCAAUGGACGCAAGUCUGACGGAGCAACGCCGCGUGAGUGAAGAAGGAUUUCGGUUCGUAAAACUCUGUUGUUACAGAAGAACAGCGCAUAGAGUAACUGUUAUGCGUGUGACGGUAUCUAACCAGAAAGCCACGGCUAACUACGUGCCAGCAGCCGCGGUAAUACGUAGGUGGCAAGCGUUGUCCGGAUUUAUUGGGCGUAAAGCGAGCGCAGGCGGUCAAUUAAGUCUGAUGUGAAAGCCCCCGGCUCAACCGGGGAGGGUCAUUGGAAACUGGUUGACUUGAGUGCAGAAGAGGAGAGUGGAAUUCCAUGUGUAGCGGUGAAAUGCGUAGAUAUAUGGAGGAACACCAGUGGCGAAGGCGACUCUCUGGUCUGUAACUGACGCUGAGGCUCGAAAGCGUGGGUAGCAAACAGG
rnacentral:rRNA from 1 species